ACUCAAAGGAAUAGACGGGGGCUCGCACAAGCGGUGGAGCAUGUGGUUUAAUUCGAUGGUAAGCGAAGAACCUUACCUGGGCUUGAACGUGUAGUGACAGUUGGUGAAAGCCAAUCUUCCUUCGGGACACUAUGCGAGGUGCUGCAUGGCUGUCGUCAGCUCGUGUUGUGAAAUGUUGGGUUAAGUCCCGCAACGAGCGCAACCCCCAUCCUAUGUUGCCAUCAUUCAGUUGGGCACUCUUAGGAAACUGCCCUGGUUAACGGGGAGGAAGGCGGGGAUGACGUCAAGUCCUCAUGGCCCUUAUGUCCAGGGCUACACACGUGCUACAAUGGGGCGCACAAAGGGACGCGAAGCUGCAAGGCCUAGCAAAUCUCAAAAAACGCUUCUCAAUUCGGAUUGGAGUCUGCAACUCGACUCCAUGAAGCCGGAAUCGCUAGUAAUCACAGAUCAGAACGCUGUGGUGAAUACGUUCUCGAGCCUUGUACACACCGCCCGU
rnacentral:rRNA from 1 species